AGCCUGGAGUUAUAAAUAUGGAACUUCAAAAUGGUGUGAGGUUUUUUGUUUGGUUGGUUGUUGUUUCUGGAAUAGAUAGCAUAGAACUGAAGGUUGGCCCAUUGUCAGGUUAGCAGGCUUCCUUUGUGGCGAUUCCUUCCCUCUUCUGUGAAGUUUUAAUCUUCAAAAUAUCAAAUAGAAAAACGAGCAAGAAAACCAAAGGCAAACAAAACCCCCAUAGCUGUCCUUUCAAGAUCAUUAUCAAUGUCCUUGAAAAGAUGGACAGGUCCGUUCAGCCCUUUACUGUAUAUAAUUACACUUAGUGUGUAGAACCAGGAAUGAGGCAGUUUAGGCAAAAUGGAAUCUGGUAAGGAUGACAGUACUUGAUUUCUCCCUGUUGGAAAUCUGGGAACGUCCCCAGCCUAAACAGUGUACGUUUAUUUAUCCCACAGUGGCUUGUUCCAUGUGGACCUCUUCUAAGUUAGUGGACCCAGUUGUUUGGGGGAACAUAAGCUGAAGGAAAAAUCAGAUACUUAACUCUGGCAUUAGGCUUUCAUGGAAUGAGGAGGAAGAACAUUCAGUGUUAGAUUGUUGAGACAACUGAGUAGUGAAUCAUAACCUUAAUGCCUAUUUUGUUCCAACUGCCAAAUAAAAUCAUAUUAUUGGAAUGAAGUAGCAUAUAUCCUGCUACGGCACAAGAAUACUUGGCAGUUAGCAGCCAAUCCUUUCACUAAGCUCUAUGGCCAGGGACUGUAAGGGAAGAGCAGAACUUGCAAAUAUUAGGUUGGCAGAGUCUUGAAAAUAAAAGCAACAUGAAUGGUAAAAUUCAUUCAGUAAAUAUCUUUAUUCCCAGGCUAAUACAGAUUUUUAACUGUAAUGUUUUUGUUCAAAUUCUCUAUAUUCAUGUUAACCAAAUGUGCAGGGUAUUAUUGUUGUAGCUUUUUUUACACUUACUCUACACCAUCAAACUCAUCACUGUUUUUGGUAUUAAUUUCCUUUGAGGUAGACCAUCUCUGGUCUCUGUUUUGCAGAUUCUAUUUUCUGUCUGAGGUCUCUGGGCAUAAAUCAAAUCCAUGUCUGAUGACUUGAUGACUGCCUUAGUUAGUGUAUCCUAAACUGAACUCCUUUCAGGUUUUCCCUUCCCUAUUCCGUCAUCAUCUCAUUGCUCUUGCUUCUUCCUUUGCCAUCAUCGUACUGUUUUCCUACAAUAUCUCAUGGUGUGCCGUGAAAUCAACACAUUGUUUUUUAAGAUCUGGUCAGUUCCACUGGUGCUUACUCCGUGGAGCUGUUGAUUUCUGUAUUGACUGUACAGACAGGAUCUGCCCAACUUUGUGUGCCCGUGAAGCACAUACCACAGUGGGACUUCCAGAGUGCACACACUCGCAUCGCGCAGGAUGCGGGGCUGCAGUAACGCAUCCCUCUGACGCACGAUGGCAUAACAGAAGGUACUGCUGAGGCAGGACAUGGGGGUGGGGAGGUGAGGAAAUAAAGCAAACAAUGUUGAACUGCCUGACAUCUUAAAUGACAGAAAAACCGUCAGCCUGUGGGAAGUCACGAUUUAGUGUUGCAGCUCCUUGACAGGGUAUGACAGUUUAGGAUCAUCUGCAUAAAUCUGAGGUAUUGCUGAAAGCAGAAGUGGCUAAACUUGCUCAAACUUCCAAAGAAACUGAAUUGAAGUCGAGAGAGAGAAAUAGAGCAGGACGAAUAGGAGGGUGCCAGGCUGAUCACUACAACUGUUUAAAAUAGAAAAGCAGAUGGAACAAAUAGAAAGAUUUACCACACAGCUUGAUCUCUCCCCCUGAAGCAGCCAUUCAUCAUCAGCACCGCGGAGACAAACUGCGAAACAAGUUUCCCUUUGUGGCUCUGAUUGGGCUUGGAGAGGUGGCAGAGCUGCACGAC